UCGUCGGCCGUUAUAUCAUCGUUUCACCGUUGGAUUGGUCUGGAUUUUGGAUAUGUUAUUCAUCCAGAUGUUAUAUAAAUUCUGAACGGUUUGGAUCAGAAAAGAACACUCCUACUAGAAAUUAUACUUCCCGAACAGCAGGUCUCCAAAUUUCAGGAGAAGCAUUCACUCGACUUCUCAGGAGCUCGUAUAGUAGGAGCUUAAGGAGGGGCUGCAAGAGGGGCACAACAACAACAAGGAAGAGCGAGUUGAGCUUCUGCAGCUGGAUGGAGGCAAAUAUUGUAUCGCUUGGGAUGUGAGAAUAGAAGUUCAUUAACCAUGGUCCUUCAGAUUCACGCCAGGAGUAGCGUUUUAGGUCCUCUAGUCUCCUUUUGUAUGAUUGAAUAAGAAGAUGAACAUUAAUGUAUUUUGUCUUUAAGGAACUAAAUGACUUAAUAUGUAAUAGUACUCCUUUUACAUUAAGUGUCGGACAUAAAAAUGUAUUAUUAUGUAUUUGUAAUCUUAGUUUGUUUACUUGCAAUUGUUAUGAAUUAUGUGUGUUAAUGGGAAAGAAAUGAGCAUGCGAAAUGUGAGGCAUGUACCAUGAA